rnacentral:rRNA from 1 species
CACGAAACAAGGUGAGCUAAUGUUUAACAAUUUUAGAUUAGUGGUAUGUUGCAUAAUACGCAGUUGAUUAAGCAUUAGGGGUGAUAGGCCAAACAAAUCUUGAGAUAACUUGUUGUCUUUGAAAAGUAUUAAGUACAUUCCUAAUUAAAAAGUGCCAAGAUUUUUUAAGCAUAUUAAUAAUUAAUAGUUUAUAUAAAAGGUUUAACAAUCUAUUUUUCCUUAAGUUAAUAUUUUUUUAAAUAAUGUUAUAGUAAAUAAAAGACUAUAUAAUAACUAUUCACAAUAUUUAUAAUGUUAUUAUAAGUAAUUGAUAGAUAUUACAAAUGAACUCGGCAAAAUACCUCUCAGCUGUUUAUCAAAAACAUCGCUAUUAGUAUACCUUAGUAGUCUUUUCUGCUCAAUGAAACUUAAAUAGCCGCAGUACUCUGACUGUGCAAAGGUAGCAUAAUCAGUUGGCUUAUAAUUGAAGUCUUGUAUGAAUGAAUGUAUGGGGGAUAACUGUAUUUGUUAUAUAACAUUAAAUUGCUAAGUGAGUGCAAAUUCUCAUAUAUUAAUUAAUAGACGAGAAGACCCUAGAAAUUUGUAUAAUAAUUAUAACUUUAGUUUUUGUUGGGGCAACAAAGUAACAAGUAAUUUACUUUUGUAGUACAAGAAAUUUAUUAGAAAGAUAAAAUUACUCUAGGGAUAACAGCGUAAUAUUUAAAUGUUUGCGACCUCGAUGUUGGAUUAGGAAGCGAAGGUC